AUUGAACGCUGGCGGCAUGCCUUACACAUGCAAGUCGAACGGCAGCGCGGACUUCGGUCUGGCGGCGAGUGGCGAACGGGUGAGUAAUACAUCGGAACGUACCCUGUUGUGGGGGAUAACUAGUCGAAAGAUUAGCUAAUACCGCAUACGACCUGAGGGUGAAAGUGGGGGACCGCAAGGCCUCACGCAGCAGGAGCGGCCGAUGUCUGAUUAGCUAGUUGGUGGGGUAAAGGCCCACCAAGGCGACGAUCAGUAGCUGGUCUGAGAGGACGAUCAGCCACACUGGGACUGAGACACGGCCCAGACUCCUACGGGAGGCAGCAGUGGGGAAUUUUGGACAAUGGGGGCAACCCUGAUCCAGCAAUGCCGCGUGUGUGAAGAAGGCCUUCGGGUUGUAAAGCACUUUUGUCCGGAAAGGAAUCGCGCUGGUUAAUACCUGGCGUGGAUGACGGUACCGGAAGAAUAAGCACCGGCUAACUACGUGCCAGCCGCCGCGGUAA
rnacentral:rRNA from 1 species